UACGAAGGGGCUAGCGUUGCUCGGAAUCACUGGGCGUAAGCGCACGUAGGCGGACUCUUAAGUCAGGGGUGAAAUCCUGGAGCUCAACUCCAGAACUGCCUUUGAUACUGGGAGUCUCGAGUUCGGGAGAGGUGAGUGGAACUGCGAGUGUAGAGGUGAAAUUCGUAGAUAUUGGGAAGAACACCGGUGGCGAAGGCGGCUACACUGGCCCGGUACUGACGCUGAGGUGCGAAAGCGUGGGAGCAA
rnacentral:rRNA from 1 species